rnacentral:lncRNA from 1 species
CUUCCCUUGCACAGCUUGUUCCCAAGUCCAUAAGUGUUUGUAGUCUGUAUUCUAUCACAGCAAAUUAAAUUCCAGAGUUGUGUUUUGUGACGGAGUCUCUUUCUCUGAAAAAUGGUGUUCUGUGUGAUGAUUUCCAUCCUUCAUUUUCACCUUUCCCCAAAAAAAAAUUCCUGAAAUUGAACAAUACAUUUCAAUGGAAUGAUAAAUUCUAUCACAAGUUCUUAAAUAUGAAAAGAAGAAACAGUUUUCUUUUUCGCAAUAAUUAUUCUUCAUAAUCAGGUUAAUCAUUAACAGCUUUAAGUUUGUUUUCUGCUUAUUGCAGACAUGUUCUUGAUUUUUAUACCAGUUGGUGUCCAACAUUGAACAAUAACAAUGUAAGGCAGGUGGCAAAUAUUUUGUUUUAAGAAUACAAAAUGUUUCAAAUUGUAAAACUUAGCCAUUCUGUGGUUCUUGGAUAACAAAAAAGUUAAACCCGACAGCAAGAUCAGGAUCUUAUUUCAGCCCUAUUAGCAGAUCUCAUUUGAUGAUGAUAUAUUUUGUAUAAAUUAAUCCUGAAAAUAUAAAUCCCAAAAAAUUGUCUCCCUUGAAAUAAAUAUUUUCAGUAAUGCAUUUUCUCCAUUUUUAUCAGUAUGAUUGUGUGAUGCACACAUUUGU